ACGGAAGGCAGCAGUGGGGGAUAUUGCACAAUGGGGGAAACCCUGAUGCAGCGACGCCGCGUGAGUGAAGAAGUAUUUCGGUAUGUAAAGCUCUAUCAGCAGGAAAGAUAAUGACGGUACCUGACUAAGAAGCACCGGCUAAAUACGUGCCAGCAGCCGCGGUAAUACGUAUGGUGCAAGCGUUAUCCGGAUUUACUGGGUGUAAAGGGAGCGCAGACGGCAUGGCAAGCCAGAUGUGAAAGGCAGGGGCUCAACUCCUGGACUGCAUUUGGAACUGUCAAGCUAGAGGAUCGGAGAGGUAAGUGGAAUUCCUAGUGUAGCGGUGAAAUGCGUAGAUAUUAGGAGGAACACCAGUGGCGAAGGCGGCUUACUGGACGAUAACUGACGUUGAGGCUCGAAAGCGUGGGGAGCAAACAGGAUUAGAUACCCUGGUA
rnacentral:rRNA from 1 species